rnacentral:rRNA from 1 species
GGUCUAGCAAUAGACUGAUGGCGACCGGCGCACGGGUGAGUAACACGUAUCCAACCUACCGGCUAUUCCGGGAUAGCCUUUCGAAAGAAAGAUUAAUACCGGAUAGUAUAGCGAGAAGGCAUCUUCUUGCUAUUAAAGAAUUUCGAUAACCGAUGGGGAUGCGUUCCAUUAGUUUGUUGGCGGGGUAACGGCCCACCAAGACAUCGAUGGAUAGGGGUUCUGAGAGGAAGGUCCCCCACAUUGGAGCUGAGACACGGUCCAAACUCCUACGGGAGGCAGCAGUGAGGAAUAUUGGUCAAUGGACGAGAGUCUGAACCAGCCAAGUAGCGUGAAGGAUGACUGCCCUAUGGGUUGUAAACUUCUUUUAUAUGGGAAUAAAGUGAGCCACGUGUGGCUUUUUGUAUGUACCAUACGAAUAAGGAUCGGCUAACUCCGUGCCAGCAGCCGCGGUAAUACGGAGGAUCCGAGCGUUAUCCGGAUUUAUUGGGUUUAAAGGGAGCGUAGGCGGACUAUUAAGUCAGCUGUGAAAGUUUGCGGCUCAACCGUAAAUUGCAGUUGAUACUGGUCGUCUUGAGUGCAGUA